GGCUCCACCAGAGAUCAAGCCUUAUGUUCCCGGGGAGAAUCUGCAACAGUGGCUUACUGAUGAGAAAGCUCGAGACCAGUUUGUGAUUCGGGCCGGCAAUGACACAGAGGUCCUCUGGAAUGAUGCAAGACAGUUGAAGCCUGAGCUUGUUUACAAACGUUCUUUCUGGACUGAGACUUUUUUUCAAUGGUCCCCUCUGGGAUCGUAUUUGGCAACAGUUCACAGACAAGGUGCUGCAAUUUGGGGUGGUGCCACCACUUUCAACCGUCUGAUGCGCUAUGCACAU